CCUUGGCACUAGGAGCCGAUGAAGGACGUGAUAAGCUGCGAUAAGCUUCGGGGAGUUGCACGUAAACUUUAAUCCGAAGAUUUCCGAAUGAGGAAACUCACUUAGAGUAAUGUCUAAGUAUCGUUAAGUGAAUACAUAGCUUAACGAGGGGAACCCGGGGAACUGAAACAUCUAAGUACCCGGAGGAAGAGAAAGAAAUUCGAUUCCGUAAGUAGCGGCGAGCGAACGCGGAACAGGCCAAACCAAUGAAGUUUACUUCGUUGGGGUUGCGGACAUACAACAUGGAUGCAAUAUCGUAAAUGAAGAGAGUUGGAAAGCUCCGCCAUAGAAGGUAAUAGCCCUGUAGUUGAAACGAGAAAGCUACUAGUAUGAUCCAGAGUACCACGGGACACGUGAAACCCUGUGGGAAGCAGGAGGGACCAUCCUCCAAGCCUAAAUACUACCUAGUGACCGAUAGCGCAUAGUACCGUGAGGGAAAGGUGAAAAGAACCCCGGGAGGGGAGUGAAAUAGAACCUGAAACCCUGCACUUACAAGCUGUGGGAGCACAUUACUUGUGUGACCGCGUACUUUUUGUAGAACGGGCCAACGAGUUACGUUAAGUAGCAAGGUUAAGCACUUAAGGUGUGGAGCCGUAGCGAAAGCGAGUCUUAAUAGGGCGUCAUAGUAUGUUGCCGUAGACCCGAAACCAGGUGAUCUACCCAUGUCCAGGAUGAAAGUGCGGUAAUACGCACCGGAGGUCCGAACCCGUGUACGUUGAAAAGUGCUGGGAUGAGGUGUGGGUAGCGGUGAAAUUCCAAACGAACUUGGAGAUAGCUGGUUCUCUCCGAAAUAGCUUUAGGGCUAGCCUCGGAAUUAGAAUAACGGAGGUAGAGCACUGAAUGUCCUAGGGGGUAUUGCACUUACCGAAGACUAUCAAACUCCGAAUGCCGUUUUCUUUUACUUGGGAGUCAGACUGUGGGUGAUAAGAUUCAUAGUCAAAAGGGCAACAGCCCAGAUCGUCAGCUAAGGUCCCUAAAUGUACGUUAAGUGGUAAAGGAUGUGGGAUUGCACAGACAACCAGGAUGUUGGCUUAGAAGCAGCCACUCAUUUAAAGAGUGCGUAAUAGCUCACUGGUCG
rnacentral:rRNA from 1 species